rnacentral:rRNA from 1 species
UGGGUAACCUGCCUCGAUGACCGGGACAACCCGGGGAAACCCGGGCUAAUACCGGAUGUGCUGCCCUCACUUAAGUGAGGGUUGGAAAGGAAGCUUCGGCCUCCGCAUUGAGAUGGGCCCGCGGCCCAUUAGCUUGUUGGUGAGGUAACGGCUCACCAAGGCUGCGAUGGGUAGCUGGUCUGAGAGGACGAUCAGCCACACUGGGACUGAGACACGGCCCAGACUCCUACGGGAGNAG